AUACUCUGUAAAACAGUAUAUCUGGGUUUUUUUUUAUGUUAAUAUGUUGUAACAGAAAGGGUCACCAAUUUGCUUGUGCCAUCCUCUCUCCCCUACCACAGAGCUGAACUGUGCGAACAACAGGAUGUCUUUGGUGCUUCCCAUCUCCUCCAUGGAGGAUCUACCCUUGGAUGAUCUCAAGCUAAACGAUCCCUCUUGCCCCGUGUUCCAUAACACCACUCAUGUGACUGCCAGCUUCCCUCUGUCUAGCUGUGGCACGAAGGCAGUGGUAAGUUUCUCCUUAAAUGCUUACACAGGGAGCCUGUCAAAGAAUGGAAGGCAACCACAUUGUUAGUUUCUGGGUAUGUACUUCAGUUCUACUUAAUACAUGCCCUCCCCUCUAACAGCUUUGAUAGUGCCAAAAAGGGUCGAUCGUCAGGGGCUAUCCAGUUAGGGCAUGCACUGCAGCGUCUUAGAGAUGGCGCCGGGGAGGCGGCAGGAAUCAUCUUGAUCCGUGGAAUAUAGCAUUUAUGGUAUUGCUUUUAGGAGGUUGAGAAUCUCUCAAGGGUGCUGAAUAAAAGAGAGCAGACUGUUGGGUGAGCCAUCCUUAUAUAGGGCAGGUGCUAUCACCUGAUUGGCCAGACGGGGUUGAUGAGUCUUUUUUCAGGGUGAUGCUGCCUACGGCAGAUGGGAUUGAUACUAAUGAAGUCGUUAGAGGGCGGAGCAUGUAUGACGUACAACUAAUGGAUGCUUAACUCAUUCUUUGAAAGAUCAGAUGAGUCACCGUGUCUACCGUGUCUUCUAGCACGCUGGCUCAGAGUUGGUCUACACAAACGUGCUGAAGAGCACAAGUGUCCCUUCUCCCAUUACCCGACGGCCCAUUUUGAUUCUGCCCCUGGCCUGCCGUAUCAAGGCGCAGGAAGCCAGUGGCCCCAACUACAAAAUCACCAUUCCCCAAGAGGAGAAGGUGUUUGGGGUGGUCUCCUUUUGGGUCGAAUUCCAUCUCCCAGGGGAAGGUCCCUUGGGCAAUUUAACCCGCAAGGCGGAGUUUCGGAGGUUGCCGAGGGAGGCAAGAGAAUUUUCAGCAAAGACUAACCGGUUUUCGGAGCUGGACAUGUACGUGUUCUCCAACAGCUCAAUGACACGUGCCCAGCUGAUGAUGGGAGGAUGCAAGGAAUCGGAGACAGAAGACUUUGCUCUGACUUCUCCUAUUGUCGACAGUGGGUGUAACGAAGGCAACAAAACUCUGGAGAUUCUUGUACAAACUUCACUGAUUAAAGUAUACCGCAUUGAUUUGGCUAAAGUCGAUGUAGUGGGCAACACGGUCAGUUAAUCAACUUCUAUUUUUUUAUAUACUUAUAAACAACAUUUCUUACUCUUUAUUAUGUUGUAUAGUGUAUGCCAGUUCAUAGUGGUCAUAGAGGCUACUGUAUAUAAUCUAUUCUAAUCUGUAGAUCUAAUCAAAAGAAAAGCCAGUUACCAGUUAUAUAAUCUAAUCUAAUCUAUGCAUGAAUAAAAAAAAACCUGUGACAAGACAACAUUUUUGAGAACAUCUGAAAAUGCCACUCUUUGUGAAAGGUCUGAAAGAGCGCUGAAGUAAUCUAAAUUCUCACAUUCUACUGUACAGUUCAGCUGUUUUUAUUUAAUAACAUUAAAUCUUAAUUUAUCAGAAUACAGAUGUUUCUCAAAGAUGUCUCACAAAAGAUUGCACAAUUUGGCUAAAAUGUGUGAGGUAUAUAUGUACAGUACAUGUGUUUUUGUAAUGAUUUUUGAGGGUUAAAAAGGUAGUGACUGGUAGUGACUAUUCUCCCAUGUGCUAAAGUAAAAAGCUACAAACCUUUCAGCCUACCUGUAUUCUCCAGGUAGUAUUCUUUACCACACCCUAACAGUAGCUCUCUAGUAGACUCUAAAUAGCCUGAGAGUAGACUCUCAACUCUGAUGCAUGUUCAGGAUUGUUGUCUUUGCAAUGACCCUCUUCAUGAUUCUAAAGCCUGAACGGAAGGCAGGCCUCUGCAGAAUACACUUUCCUUUCAGUCACCAGAUCACAACCCUGGUGACUGGACAGAGUAAAACAUGGUGUGCCUUUUCAUGGCAAUUUACAAUAAUGUGAUUUCUCACGUUUUGGCAUAAAGUUAUAGAAUCCCGAAUAGAGUAAAAUUAUAGAACUAUCGUUGUGGCAAAUGUUAGGCCUUCAGAAUGAGCUUAGCUAGAAGCUAGAAACUGACAUGGUGUAUACUUGAUGUUGACUUGACAUUUUUGUAUCUCUUCCUAAAGAUGUGGGUGGAAUGUGAAGUGAGCAUGUGUGUGACCACACAGCCCUCUGAAAAGUGCCCAGAACCAUGUGACCCCGCAGCUGUUGGGAAUGUCUUGGUGUCACAAUAUAUUUCUCGUAACUAUACUGUACGGUCUGGGCCUGUCCUCAUCGUGGACGCCGCAGUUACAACAGUAGCUACAACCACCACAGCCCCUACAACGACAACACAGACCACCACUACCACUACCACUACCACUACAACUACUACUACUACAGCCCCUACAACUACCACACCCAACCCUACCACAGCAGCAGGUAAAGUCUUCCAAGGUACAGAGGUAUCGCACAUUAUUAUCAAGCCAUCUAUACAGACACACAAGGAACAACUCAACACUCACUAACAUGUCUCUCCGAUUCUAUCCUUCAACAGCUUCAGAGAGGAGUUUCAUCUUGGCUGUGGGAGUGACCACAGCGGUCUUUCACAUGUUCUACCGGUGCCUUCUCUACUAAAAAGAAAACGAGCAAUCAAGAUUCAGCAAAGCAGAGGAAACCACACAGACUCACAUAUUCUUGCUUUAUGUGAGAUUAUAAACUCUACUACGACUCUACGUCAGCAUAGGCCUGGGAGGUUCAGGAUCAUUUUAAACAGUAGAUAGGUGAUAUUUUCUAUAUUUAAUUUAUUUUACAUUUAUAUUUUUUCUUGUGCGCAAAAGAUAAUAACAUCUUCCCACAAGAUAACUAACUUGCGCGCACAGAUACAAAAAAUAUCACCUUUUGGGACUUUAGGGGCUGUGGAGUACUGUGCACCUUGCUAUAAACACACUCUUUAGGGGCUGUGGAGUACUCUGCACCUUGCUAUAAACACACUCUUUUGCAUCACUUGCAUAGUUAAAAAGAAAAGAAUACAUUUAUUUUGGUUCCAUACAUUAUGCACAUGAAAAGACUGGGAAAAAAUAAAUGUGAUUCAGAAUGAGCCUUAUAUGAAAGUUUAAUGUUAGGUCAUAUAAUUUGAUAAAUACAUCAGCACUCUGAGAUAAUAAUCAACACCAAACUUCAUUUCUGAU